rnacentral:rRNA from 1 species
GGGAAAACCCAUAGGAAACUGGACUAAUACCGCAAAUUGCUACAUAAGUAGAGUAGAGGAAAGUUUUUUCGCUUCACGAUGAGCCUGCGGCCUAUUAGCCUGUUGGUAGGGUAAUGGCCUACCAAAGCUACGAUAGGUAGCCGACCUGAGAGGGUGACCGGCCACAUUGGGACUGAGAUACGGCCCAGACUCCUACGGGAGGCAGCAGCUGAGAAUCUUCCACAAUGGACGAAAGUCUGAUGGAGCGACCUCGCGUGAGGGAUGAAGGCCUUCGGGUUGUAAACCUCGGAAAUUAUCGAAGAAUGAGUGACAGUAGAUAAUGUAAGCCUCGGCUAACUACGUGCCAGCAGCCGCGGUAAUACGUAGGAGGCAAACGUUGCUCGGAUUGGC